rnacentral:rRNA from 1 species
UACGUAGGGUCCGAGCGUUGUCCGGAAUUAUUGGGCGUAAAGAGCUCGUAGGCGGUUUGUCACGUCUGCUGUGAAAUCCCGAGGCUCAACCUCGGGCCUGCAGUGGGUACGGGCAGACUGGAGUGCGGUAGGGGAGAAUGGAAUUCCUGGUGUAGCGGUGGAAUGCGCAGAUAUCAGGAGGAACACCGAUGGCGAAGGCAGUUCCCUGGGCCGUAACUGACGCUGAGGAGCGAAAGCGUGGGGAGCGAACAGG